rnacentral:rRNA from 1 species
AUGAAUGCUGGCGGCGUGCCUAACACAUGCAAGUCGAGCGGCAGCGCGAGUAGUUUACUACUUGGCGGCGAGCGGCGGACGGCUGAGUAACGCGUGGGAACAUGCCCCAAAGUGAGGAAUAACUGCCCGAAAGGGUAGCUAAUGCCGCAUAUGAUCUUCGGAUUAAAGGAUUUAUCCGCUUUGGGAGUGGCCUGCGUACGAUUAGAUAGUUGGUGAGGUAAAGGCUCACCAAGUCUACGAUCGUUAACUGGUCUGAGAGGAUGAUCAGUCAGACUGGAACUGAGACACGGUCCAGACUCCUACGGGAGGCAGCAGUGAGGAAUCUUCCACAAUGGGCGAAAGCCUGAUGGAGCAACGCCGCGUGCAGGAUGAAGGCCUUCGGGUCGUAAACUGCUUUUAUAAGUGAAGAAUAUGACGGUAACUUAUGAAUAAGCACCGGCUAACUACGUGCCAGCAGCCGCGGUCAUACGUAGGGUGCAAGCAUUAUCCGGAGUGACUGGGCGUAAAGAGUUGCGUAGGUGGUUUGUUAAGUAAAUAGUGAAAUCUGGGGGCUCAACCUCACAGACUAUUAUUUAAACUGGCAAACUCGAGAAUGGUAGAGGUAACUGGAAUUUCUAGUGUAGGAGUGAAAUCCGUAGAUAUUAGAAGGAACACCAAUGGCGUAGGCAGGUUACUGGACCAUUUCUGACACUGAGGCACGAAAGCGUGGGGAGCGAACCGGAUUAGAUACCCGGGUAGUCCACGCCGUAAACUAUGGAUACUAGCUGUUGGAGGUAUCGACCCCUUCAGUAGCGAAGCUAACGCGUUAAGUAUCCCGCCUGUGGAGUACGGUCGCAAGACUAAAACAUAAAGGAAUUGACGGGGACCCGCACAAGCGGUGGAGCGUGUUCUU